rnacentral:rRNA from 1 species
AGAGUUUGAUCCUGGCUCAGGAUGAACGCUGGCGGCGUGCCUAACACAUGCAAGUCGAGCGAUUCUCUUCGGAGAAGAGCGGCGGACGGGUGAGUAACGCGUGGGUAACCUGCCCUGUACACACGGAUAACAUACCGAAAGGUAUGCUAAUACGAGAUAAUAUGCUUUUAUCGCAUGGUAGAAGUAUCAAAGCUUUUGCGGUACAGGAUGGACCCGCGUCUGAUUAGCUAGUUGGUAAGGUAACGGCUUACCAAGGCGACGAUCAGUAGCCGACCUGAGAGGGUGAUCGGCCACAUUGGAACUGAGACACGGUCCAAACUCCUACGGGAGGCAGCAGUGGGGAAUAUUGCACAAUGGGCGAAAGCCUGAUGCAGCAACGCCGCGUGAGCGAUGAAGGCCUUCGGGUCGUAAAGCUCUGUCCUCAAGGAAGAUAAUGACGGUACUUGAGGAGGAAGCCCCGGCUAACUACGUGCCAGCAGCCGCGGUAAUACGUAGGGGGCUAGCGUUAUCCGGAAUUACUGGGCGUAAAGGGUGCGUAGGUGGUUUCUUAAGUCAGAGGUGAAAGGCUACGGCUCAACCGUAGUAAGCCUUUGAAACUGGGAAACUUGAGUGCAGGAGAGGAGAGUGGAAUUCCUAGUGUAGCGGUGAAAUGCGUAGAUAUUAGGAGGAACACCAGUGGCGAAGGCGGCUUACUGGACGGUAACUGACGUUGAGGCUCGAAAGCGUGGGGAGCAAACAGGAUUAGAUACCCUGGUAGUCCACGCCGUAAACG